rnacentral:rRNA from 1 species
UACGUAGGGACCAAGCGUUGUUCGGAUUUACUGGGCGUAAAGGGCGCGUAGGCGGCGUGGUAAGUCACUUGUGAAAUCUCUGAGCUUAACUCAGAACGGUCAAGUGAUACUGCUGUGCUAGAGUGCGGAAGGGGCAAUCGGAAUUCUUGGUGUAGCGGUGAAAUGCGUAGAUAUCAAGAGGAACACCUGAGGUGAAGACGGGUUGCUGGGCCGACACUGACGCUGAGACACGAAAGCGUGGGGAGCAAACAGG